UCUGCCUAGUAGUGGGGGAUAACUUACCGAAAGGUAAGCUAAUACCGCAUACGUCCUACGGGAGAAAGGAGGGGACUCUUCGGAGCCUUUCGCUAUUAGAUGAGCCUAGGUCGGAUUAGUUAGUUGGUGAGGUAAUGGCUCACCAAGACCGCGAUCCGUAACUGGUCUGAGAGGAUGAUCAGUCACACUGGAACUGAGACACGGUCCAGACUCCUACGGGAGGCAGCAGUGGGGAAUAUUGGACAAUGGGGGAAACCCUGAUCCAGCCAUGCCGCGUGUGUGAAGAAGGUCUUAGGAUUGUAAAGCACUUUAAGUUGGGAGGAAGGGCAGUUAACUAAUAUUUGACUGUUUUGACGUUACCGACAGAAUAAGCACCGGCUAACUUCGUGCCAGCAGCCGCGGUAAUACGAAGGGUGCAAGCGUUAAUCGGAAUUACUGGGCGUAAAGCGCGCGUAGGUGGUUCGUUAAGUUAGGAGUGAAAGCCCCGGGCUCAACCUGGGAAUUGCUUCUAAAACUGGCGGGCUAGAGUAUGGUAGAGGGUGGUGGAAUUUCCUGUGUAGCGGUGAAAUGCGUAGAUAUAGGAAGGAACAUCAGUGGCGAAGGCGACCACCUGGACUGAUACUGACACUGAGGUGCGAAAGCGUAUGGAGGCAACAGGAUUAGAUACCCUGGUAGUCCACGCCGUAAACGAUGUCAACUA
rnacentral:rRNA from 1 species